CGGGGUUGACCACGUACGUUGAGCUUCUGAUGUCAUCUGGUUGUUAUUGUAGGAAUCGUUUCCAAAGGAAUUGCGAUGCUCUGGUUGGACGUGGUCCUUAACUUUGAUUUGAUGUACAUUAUUAUAAUUACGAAAGAUGCUGUUGUUAACAAAAGGAUAAUAACGUCUCAAUCACUUUGUCCCAAUGAAUGGCAUCUGGGUUUCCGGCAAUCCAUUUCCAUGCUGAGCCUAAUCAGUUUAUAGCUCUUUUGGUUUUAUGUGUUUUAAUUCUCAGAUUAUUGUACAAUUUCGUUAUUUGUUGCAGUUGAUAUUCUAACUGUGGUUAUAAAGAGAUAAUUUCCCUCUGAA